rnacentral:rRNA from 1 species
UACUCCUACGGGAGGCAGCAGUGAGGAAUAUUGGUCAAUGGGCGAGAGCCUGAACCAGCCAAGUAGCGUGCAGGAAGACGGCCCUAUGGGUUGUAAACUGCUUUUAUGUGGGGAUAAAGUGAGCUACGUGUAGUUUAUUGCAGGUACCACAUGAAUAAGGACCGGCUAAUUCCGUGCCAGCAGCCGCGGUAAUACGGAAGGUCCAGGCGUUAUCCGGAUUUAUUGGGUUUAAAGGGAGCGUAGGCCGUGGAUUAAGCGUGUUGUGAAAUGUAGACGCUCAACGUCUGAAUUGCAGCGCGAACUGGUUCACUUGAGUAUGCACAACGUAGGCGGAAUUCGUCGUGUAGCGGUGGAAUGCUUAGAUAUGACGAAGAACUCCGAUUGCGAAGGCAGCUUACGGGAGCACAACUGACGCUGAAGCUCGAAGGUGCGGGUAUCAAACAGGAUUAGAUACCCUGGUAGUCCGCACAGUAAACGAUGGAUGCCCGUUGUUAGUUCACCUAAGAAUUAGCGACCAAGCGAAAGCAUUAAGCAUCCCACCUGGGGAGUACGCCGGCAACGGUGAAACUCAAAGGAAUUGACGGA